rnacentral:rRNA from 1 species
AACGAACGCUGGCGGCGUGGAUAAGACAUGCAAGUCGAACGCUCGUCGACGGGUAGCAAUAUCCGGCGGCGGGAGUGGCGCAAGGGUGCGUAACACGUGGGUCAUUGCCGUGAAGCUGGGAACAACUCGUUGAAAGACGAGCUAAUACCCAAUGUGCUCCGCGAGGAGUAAAGCCGGGGACCGCAAGGCCUGGCACUUCACGAUAAGCCCGCGGCCUAUCAGCUAGUUGGCGGGGUAAAAGCCCACCAAGGCUAAGACGGGUAGCUGGUCUGGGAGGACGACCAGCCACACUGGAACUGAGACACGGUCCAGACACCUACGGGUGGCAGCAGUCGAGAAUUUUUCACAAUGGGCGAAAGCCUGAUGGAGCGACGCCGCGUGGGGGAUGAAGGGCUUCGGCUCGUAAACCCCUGUCAUUUGCGAACAAGGACGCCGACCUAACACGUCGUCGUUUGAUAGUAGCAGAAGAGGAAGGGACGGCUAACUCUGUGCCAGCCGCCGCAGUAAAAC